UUGAAACGCUGGCGGCAUGCCUUANCAUGCAAGUCGAACGGCAGCAUGGGGUGCUUGCACCUGAUGGCGAGUGGCGAACGGGUGAGUAAGCAUCGGAACGUACCGUGUAGUGGGGGAUAACGUAGCGAAAGUUACGCUAAUACCGCAUACGCACUGAGGUGGAAAGCAGGGGAUCGCAAGACCUUGCGCUAUACGAGCGGCCGAUGGUCAGAUUAGCUAGUUGUAGGGUAAAGGCCUACCAAGGCGACGAUCUGUAGCGGGGUCUGAGAGGGAUGAUCCGCCACACCGGGACUGAGACACGGCCCCAGACUCCUACGGGAGGCAGCAGUGGGGAAUUUUGGACAAUGGGCGAAAGCCUGAUCCAGCCAUGCCGCGUGAGUGAAGAAGGCCUUCGGGGUUGUAAAGCUCUUUCGGCUGGGAAGAAAUCGCACAGGCUAAUACUCUGUGUGGAUGACGGUACCAGCACAAGAAGCACCGGCUAACUACGUG
rnacentral:rRNA from 1 species